rnacentral:rRNA from 1 species
UACGUAGGGGGCUAGCGUUGUCCGGAUUUAUUGGGCGUAAAGAGCGUGUAGGCGGCCUGGUAGGUCUGCUGUGAAAACUCGAGGCUCAACCUCGAGAUGUCGGCGGAAACCAUCUGGCUAGAGUCCGGAAGAGGAGAGUGGAAUUCCUGGUGUAGCGGUGAAAUGCGCAGAUAUCAAGAAGAACACCCGUGGCGAAGGCGGCUCUCUGGGACGGUACUGACGCUGAGACGCGAAAGCGUGGGGAGCGAACAGG